ensembl:lncRNA
UGUUAUGUGUGAUCUCUAGUCUUCAUGUUUACCAUAAGCAGACAUUAUUAUGACAAGUAUUGCUGGAUGAUUUAAGCAAGCGUCGUAUCUUUGUUUGUUGUUUAAUUGCAGUAAUCUUUUAUGUGUGCUUUGUAUCUAAUGAGCAUUAUGGGUUGAGUAAUAGCUUAUUCAGAUUUUUAUGAUAUGGCACAGCAGCAGUUGUGUCUGCUGGUGAAAGAGAUAGAGCCAGUGUUAAAACAGUGUUGUAAAGUGCAUGCUCUUACAAAACAAGCUCAUCUAGAUUUGGUGUAUCAAAGCUGUGAAACUGACAUUAACAAUAAUUUUGUGGUCUUCAGGAUAUGGUGUACCAGCUGGCACACCCACAGGGCAAGGCUCAAAACCAUCAAAACAGGGUGUUGGGCCCAGAGGUGGCCAGUCCGUGUCACAGGGAGAGAGGGGCGAUGGUAAACCUCAGUACCUCCAUGUGUGGCUUUCAUGCUUUUUAAAGCUUUUUCAAUCUGCUCUUCUGGAUUUUUAGUUACAGUAUUUUAGCCAUUUACACUGCAUGACGAGUGGCACAUUGCUUCCUGUUAUCUCACUAUACAAUUCAUGCCUAUCCUGAAAUGUGUUUAUUUUUUUACUUUGCUUUUCUCUCCAGCAGAGUAGCAUCUCUUAUGCUCUUGCAACAGUAGCAGCUGCUAUGUUGAGAGAGUAUCUUGGUGAAUGUUAACUGGUGUUAUGGUGUUUAGGUUACAGUCGCGGAUGGGUCCCUAAUGGACAGGAUGCUAUAGCCAAUGGUAAAACUCAUCCCAGAUGUUUCCCCUCAGGACCAGGAGUGACCAAUGGAAUGAGAGCUCAAGUUAAGGGUUAUGGUCCAGCAGCAGAUAUGAUUAAUGGACGAGGAAUUAUAAACAAUGGACCAGUUUUGCCCAGUGGACAGGGCACCAAACCAUCCAAUAUGGGAUACGGCCUUGGUGCUGCUGGUUAUCUUGGAGCUGGUUAUACUGACGGUUAUGGAGCAGGUCUAGGGGCAGGUGGAUAUCCACAGGGAGUUCGAGCAGGAAAGCAGAUUGGCUACAGCAAUGGAUACGGCAGUGAGGUUUAUGGCACAGCAGACGGUUAUGGGGCAGGACCUGCCUACCCAUCAGUGUUAGCUGAUAAUGUUGGCCUGAACGGUAUAGCUGGUCUCGGAGCUGGAGGCCUUGGAGGUCCAGGACUGGUAGUAAACCCCGGCCUGGGUGCUGAUGCCAAGUCUAGAAAAUAUGGGGCUGGUGGAGUUCUUGGAGCUGCUGGAUCCUUGCCUUACGGUGGCCAGCCUGUGGUCUCAGCUGGACUUGGCCCUCAAGGCAAGACUGGUAGUUAUGGUGGGGCUACAUAUGGAGGAAUACCAAGCCUUGGGGCAGACACUUCUUUGGGUGGUACAGGUGGAGCAAUGGAGCCAUUAGCAGGCGGAGCUGUAGGCCAGAUUCCUUACAGUGCACCAGUCAUUGCAGCUGGGCUUGAUGGUAAGUUGGUGAAAAGAGAAAAACAGAACAUCAUGGACUGUCUGAUUGUGAC